GAGUAUUGAUGGUUGAAUGUCUUGUGGUUUCUGUUAAACAGAUGAAGGAGAUUGUGAGAAACUAUUUUGUAGAAGCAAAGUGGUUCAUUGAGGGAUAUAUGCCGCCUGUUUCUGAGUAUCUUAGCAAUGCAUUAGCUACCAGCACAUAUUACUUGCUAACUACAACAUCCUAUUUGGGAGUGAAGUCAGCAACAAAGGAAGAUUUUGAAUGGUUGGCUACGAACCCUAAAAUUCUUGAAGCCAAUGUGACAUUAUGCCGAGUUGUUGAUGACAUAGCAACGUAUGAGGUAAUUAGCAUCGCAUUACACUACAUAAAUCAUCUUAUAAUUUAGAGUUACAGUAAUUUAAUACAAAUUGAUUUCACAUACUUAUAAAUGAAUUAUAAUUGCCAUUCCAGGUUGAGAAGGGUAGGGGCCAAAUCGCAACAGGAAUUGAGUGUUAUAUGAGGGAUUAUGACGUAUCAACAGAAGUAGCAAUGGAAAAAUUCCAAGAGAUGGCUGAGAUAGCAUGGAAGGAUGUAAAUGAAGGAAUUCUUCGACCAACACCUGUCUCUACAGAAAUUCUUACUCGCAUUCUCAAUCUUGCUCGUAUUAUAGAUGUCACUUACAAGCACAAUCAAGAUGGAUACACUCAUCCCGAAAAAGUUCUAAAACCUCACAUCAUUGCUUUACUGGUGGACUCCAUUGAGAUCUAAACCAUUGAGUUUUUUUUUCCUUUUAGUUCCAUCUAUAUAAGUUUCCUGUAAUACUACUGUACUUAAUUAAAACGUUUUUGUACCAUUAAUUUUUUAUAUCUUAAUAAUACUUCUUUUGUACCUAGCUCGAUCUUCUUUUUAUUUGCUAAAAUAAAUUGUAAGAUUUUAAGCAAAGAAACUGCCAUAUUGAUCAUCUAACAAUAAGGAGAAAGAGUGAAAAAAACAUAAGCUUUAUCUAAGCAAGUGACACUAGUACUAAAUUCUAAUAACAUACUACUCAUGAGGUUAAUAGUACUUUUAGGGUGUGUUUGGUAUGAAGGAAAAUGUUUUCCUGGAAAACAAGUAGGCUUUUGACUUAUUUUUUCAUGUUUGAUUGGUAAGUAGAAAAUAUUUUUUAGUGUUUGAUUUAUGAAUGAAAAUUAUUUUUGAGAAAAUAUCUCUUUUUUACUAGAGAGUAGAAAAUAAUUUUUGAAUUGAAAUUGAAAAUAUUUUAAAAAAAUAAACUUAAUUUUUUUUGGGUGGGAGGCAGUGGCGGACCCAGGAUUUUCACGAAAUGGGUUCAAGAUAUAAAAAUAUACCUAAUAUUAUUUGUAAUUUUUAUAGGCUAACAGCAUACAUAUCUGACUAUACUAAACAAUGUUAAUACAUUUGAAAAAAAUUUACAUUGACUUAGGAAUGAGACGGUAAAUAACAAGAUGGACGAAAAACUAGGCUUCAAUAUAAACUAAGAAGAUAAAAGAAUAUUAUGAAUGAUUUCUCUUCAUUCAACAUUUAGCAAAUAAAAACAAAAUGUUAAACAAAAUAAUUAUAACCUUAAUUUCAGAAUCGAAUACAUAGAAAUAUACCUAAUAUUAUUUGUAAUUUUUUGUUGAUUUUAGAAUGAUAAGGGAUUUUUUAGUUGAAGAAAUAAAAAAUAACCACAAUAAUCAUAUAUGUAUAUAUAAAGACUAGAAUCAAGAGCGAAAAACAUACUUGAUGGAUAUUGACUAUUGAUGUGAGAUUUGAGAGACGGGGAGAGUUUUUUUUCCUUCAAUAAAAAAAUAUGGUCAAAAUUUUGGGGAGGAAAGUAAGAGAGGUUCAAGAAGAUUUCAACAAAGAAGAAGACAAAAGAGUUUUUAGAAUUGAGAAUAAUAGGGAUUAGUGUCCUUUUUCGUGUUUAAGUUUUUUUUUUAAAAAAAAUUAAAACAAAAGGACAAAAGUUGUUGACUAUUGGACUUUUAAUUGUAAAAGUAAAAAGUUAGUUCUACUUUUUAUAGUUUCUAAGUAACUAAAAGGACAAAAGUAACACCUACAUAGAGGAAAAAAAUUGUGUGUGAACGUUUUAUAUAUAAAAAAAACGAAUUAAAACUAAAAAUGUGGCAAUGGGGAUUCGAUCCCGGGUUGGAUGGGAACAUUGAACCUCCCUCAACCACUCAGCUAAGCUUCAAACUUGUGUUAGUGGGUUCAAAAUUUAAUAUAUACAUAUAAAAUUUUAAAAACUGAUUAAAUAUACAUAUAUAUACAGUGUUAUUUUUCAAUGAAGUGGGUUCAUAUGAACCAACUUGAACCACUGUAGGUCCGCCCCUGGUCAUAUAGGCCCAUGUUGGACAUCCAAUUGCUUCGAUUUGAAUUAUCUAGAACGCAAGUUGAAUCACAACGAAUAUUAUGAUCAAACAUGAUUUUCAGAAUUAUUAUUCGAGAAAAAGUAAAAUAUAUUCAUAGUUAAACGACCAAUAGUAUGAUUUGUUUUCAAUAAUCAAAUUAUCACUUAUUAAUUGUUUUAUUUUUUGUAUUGCGGUAAAAAAAUAAAAAAAUUGAAGUUGAAAAAUGUUUUUUUAAAAUAAGCUUUAAAUUUAUUUGUUCAACAAAAAAAUUUGAUUUUUUCAACAAAAAAAUUGUAAUAUGAAGUUGGAGGAAAGUUUUAGAAAAUGUUUUCCUUAAGUUUUGAAGGGAAGUCAUUUUUCUUGAAUUUGAGGAAAAUGAGUUGAUUUGGAAAAUAUUUUCCUAAACAUUUUACCCAACCAAACAUGAAAAAAAUUGGAAAACAUUUUCCGGAAAAUGUUUUCCUUCAUACCAAACACACCCUUAGUCCUUUUGUUAUUCAUAAAUUUAAUGUUAAUUUUUAUGAUAUCUAACUAAACACAUUAAAUCUUUAGUUAAUUAAAAUAUGCAUAUUUUAAUUCUUUUGCUCGUAAAUAUUUACCAAUUUUCUAUGAUUAUUAACUGUUCCAUUAUCUAAUUAUUUUUGAUUUGUUGUGUUGUGUUAAGUUUAUAGUAUUUCCUCAUAUUUGAUGGUAAAUAUAACUCUAAAAAUAAUCUGAAUAUAAUAUAUUUUAUGCAAAGAAACAAAAGUAGAAUAAAAUUAAAUAUGUUAGGUAGGGCUGUUCAAAAUGGAAUCGAAAUCGAUAACUCAAAUCGAAAAAAAGUUAUUAAUUUAUUGAUAAUAGGUUAUUUGUUUAACGAUUUUGGUAUUGGUUUUUGAUUUUUUUAUCAUCGGGUUAUUGAUUCUUAACGAAAUUGAAGUUUUUUCUUAAUGGGUUAAUUGAUAACUAGAUAAUAAAUUAAUAAAUUAUAUUAAUACCAUUUUGGUAUAUAAAGUCCUUUGACUUAGGAUUUAGUUUCAUAUUUUCAAUUCUUUUUUUGGUAACCAAUGUAAACUAUUACCAUACCAUCCAAAAACAAUUACAAAUAAAGAGUACCCUCUCCUGAUAACAGGUUGAGGUCUCCAACCAAACAAGGAAACUAAUUACAAAAUAAAUGCUGAAUGAAACCUCUACAUCUUUGAGCUUUCUUUGAAUUACUCAAGAAUUGUAUUCUUUCUGUUAUCUCCUUCUUAAUCUGUAUGACUACAUCUUUUGUAUUUACAUUCUUUCCUUUGUACUUCUUCCAAUUUCUAACACGCCAAGUGUGAUAUAGGACUGCUCCACUAAUUGCCGCAAUAAUCUCCUUUUUAAACUGCUUCCAAUGUUUCUCCUUUAUUCCAUCCAGAAACUGUGUGAUCCCAUUGUUUAUCAAAUAUAUACCUGUCCACCAAACUAUCUCUUGCCAUACCAUCUUAGACCAUUUACAUUCUUCAAACAAAUGCCUUGUGGUCUCCAUAACUUUCUCUUCACAUAGACAACAUUCAGUGUCAUCAACCUGAAUGUGCAGUCUCAACUUUCUCUCUUGUGUAAGCAAUCGACCUUGUAUAGCUAGCCACACCAUGAAUCUGUGUUUUGGUAGAGCCACAGCAGUCCACACUAAAUCAGCAGUUUCCAAUUGUUGUCUUUGCCCUUUAAUUGCCAAAUAACUCCGUGUGAUGGAAUAUGUACCAUUUUUUGUCAACAUGUAUUUUCAAUUCUGACAGUCUCAAACUUUCAGUUAUUCUACAAUGUGUUAGUGUUGUUUUUUAGCAAGAUACAAUUUAUCAACUCAUGUGCAUCGUUUAUUUGAUUUGUCACCAUGUUCUAAGAGAUUUUCAAUAAUUUAUUUUCGUGUCAAAUCAUAACGAUUAAACCAAUAACAAAACCGGUAACGAUCAAUAACCGAUAAACCGAUAAGCCAAUAUAUUAAUGGUUCUUAACGGUUUAGCACAUCUACAAAUUGAUAACCGAUUAGUUGAACCGAUAAACUUCAAAACCGAACCGAAUCAACCAAUGCAACACAUAUAUCACAAAAAUCAAAAUCAAAAUCAAAAUUUAUUGAUAUAUAAAUGAUGAACCAAAAGUAUUUACAAACCGUUCUGAAAAUAAUGUGAAACUCCAAAAAUACUAACUAAAAUAACUGCUUUAAACUCCAAAAAUUGAAUGUCUCAACUCUCAAGUGGAUCAAGUUAUCUUUUUUACUCAAAAAUAGAAUUGCACUAUUUAAUGUGUAAAAUUGCUGACAUUUCACUUAGUGAUAAAAAAUUAAAAACGUUAGAUGAUGAAAAAUUGAAAAACUUUAUCAAGCCAAAAACAUAAUCGAUUUGUACUAUUCACAAUGUAAAAAAUAGGUUUUGACAUUUUUUUAAGAAAAAAAUUGAGAUUUUUAAGGGUGAAUUUGAUGAAAAGAAUAUUACAUUAACCUUGAAUAUUUCUUAAAACAUUAUGUAAGUCUUUAUGAAUGAUAGUGAUACGUACAAGAUGGCUCAAACACUAUCAUUAUAAAUUAGAUUUGAAUUAAAAAAAAUACAAAUAUUAUUAUAUAAAUUAAAGCUUAAUUUAUUUUAGUUUAUAAAAUACUUUUUAUUUUUUAUUUUUUGAAAAAGACUUAACACAUUUUUCUAUUUGGAGAUUCUUUAUUUUUAACGUUCAUUUAUCCUUAAUGACAUCAAUGUAAGAUUUGUGGAAAACAUUUUAGUCUCAUAAAAAAUUGAUUCUAUAUCCAAUAUAGACUUUUUAUUUAAUUGUAGCACAAACAUGAUUUAAAUUCCUAAAAGAAUGAAAUAAAGAAAUAGUGACAAAUUUUUUUGUUACAGAUUCUCAGUUACAUCACAUUUUAAAAAAAAUGUCAUAAUUGGGGAUAUUUCUAGUUUUAAAGUGGUUUUAUUUCAGGUUAAUGUCUUCAAUUAUCUAUCAUUACUGUUGAAUGAUAUGUGUCAAAUCUCUUUUUAGCAAUCCAAUUGAAGUAUUUCUCUUCUCAUUUGUAUCCCAAUUUUGUUCCAAUGAUAGUUUUUGUUUAUUGUCAGUCAAUUUAAGAACAAAUACUCGAUCAUUAUAUUAUUUCCCGCAUAUUUUUAUCUUCCUUUCUCUCUCCAACUCUUUUCUUUUCAUUUUCUCGAUCGCCAUUUUUCAUAUCAUCAAAUAACUUUUUUUUCUGUGAACUUAUUGUUUUUAUCCAUGUUCUUUUCUAUUAUGGAAAGAUUAUCAAUCUAAGUACAUGGUAUUAGUCGAAAAAUUCACUUCUCUUUAGUCAUUAUUACCUUUUAAAAAAAAACUAUUUCAUUAGAUAAGGUAUGCAUAAGGCUAAUUUUUAUUAGUAAAGAAAAAAAAAAUUAAAGGACCUCAAAGGAAAAAUACAAGUAAGGGAGAAAAGUACAAAUAAGGGGUAUCAGAACAGUUUCGGAUAAAUUAUAAUUUCUUGUUAUGUCCCUUUGGAUAAACUAUUUUUGAUUCGCUUAAUACCAAUAAAAAUGAAGAUAUAGAUAUUUAUAAUUAUAAUUAUUUUGGAGAUAACUUGAAUCUCUUAUAUUCAAACCGCUUCAUAAUUAUAUUGAUUUGUUGUUCUUCAUGUCUACUAUGAAACUCUGCAUCACUAAUUCUCCAUCUUCGUCGUUUAAAGCAUGAAGCAACUUCCAAAUUUUUGAAUUGGAUCUUGAAUUUUUUGUUUUAGAAACUAUUACUCUUUUAUUAGGAGUAUAAUUAAUGAUGUAGUUUUGAUACUUAUAAAUGAUAAAUAAAAAAGAACGGAGAAAUUUUGAUAUAUUUUUUGUUCAUAAUUAGAAUAUGCGAUAAACAAAACUAUAUACAUUUGAGAAAUUCUCUAUUCUUCAAAAAAAAAAUUGUCAAUUCUCAAUCUGUCCAAAUCGAGAAAAUAAAAGCACAUUAUGAAAAAAAAAGUGUGCAUAAAAAUUUGCAUUUAGUCUAUUCUACUGAAUUAGUUACAUUUCAAUUUGUAUAAAUUCAACAUUAACUUAAUAAAAUAGGAUGGCAUAGAAACUCAACUUUGAACCGGAAAAACAAGUGCACAAAAGUAAUUUAUGUUUAAGCCAUCAAUCUAUGAACUUUACAAAUAAUAUGUGUUUAAUUCAAUAAAUUAAAUUAAAUAUUGCAUAUCGCCCUUUAUUUUUCUUUUGGGACAUGAUUUUCAAUUCAAAGUUGCUACAUUCUGCACUCAAGGAAAAUCCAAUAUUAUUAUAUUUUGGGUGCCAUCGAAAUAGACCACAAAUCAACAUUCCAAAUGCAUGGUGCAAUUGUGACAAAAAAGACUAAAAGACAAAAUAAUGCAAUGUCUCAUACUAGUUUAGUAAUAUUUUAUAUUGCAAGUCGUUUUCUGAAUUGACACUAGAAACCCUUAGACUUACAGACAGACGCCAAAAAAGGAAAACAAAAUUAAAAAUGGAAUGGAUUAAACUUUUAUACACUAACCAGUACAAUAGUCAAGUGCGGCAACCAGACGGCAAUAAGUAUUUAAACGUGAAGGAUUGAUGGCUGAGACAAAAGACUCUCACCAUACAUUAUAAAUACUCAUUUCCUUCACUUCCAUUUCCAUCAUCACUUGUUCAAUUUCUCUAAGCACAAAAUUAACACUUCUUUUUCACAAGCUAACUGUAGAAGAAAUGGCCCUAGCUGCUGCAGUGAUGAGUAACUACGGAGAGGAGGAGAUUGUUCGCCCUGUUGCUGACUUCUCUCCAAGUCUUUGGGGUGAUCGUUUCCAUUAUUUCUCCCUCGAUAAUCAGGUAUAUUUAAUUGAUUUGUCUGUUUAAAGCACAUUGUUUAAUAAAAUGUAUUACUUAUUAUAUAAAUUUUCAUUUGGAUAAAUUAAUUUAUAGGUUGAAAAAGAGUAUGCUCAAGAGAUUGAAACAUUGAAAGAGCAAACAAGGAGUAUGUUGUUAGCUGCGAGUGGAAUGACAUUGGCUGAGAAGUUGAAUCUGAUAGACAUUGUUGAGCGCCUUGGCUUAGCUUACCAUUUUGAGAAACAAAUAGAAGACAUGUUGGAUCAAAUUUACAAAGCACAUCCUAACUUUGAGAGUCAUGAAUACAGUGACUUAACUACUUUAUCCGUUCAGUUUCGACUACUGAGACAACAUGGUUACAAUAUCUCUCCAAGUACGUAAUAUAAUAUAAUAUAAUAUAAUAAUCAACACCGUUACACUAGCACGUAACUAAUAGUAAGUAAUAUUUUGUUUUCAACUUGAACCAGAAAUUUUUAGCAGAUACCAAGAUGCAAAGGGAAAAUUUAACGAACCCCUUAGCAACGACAUCAAAGGUCUAUUGAACUUAUAUGAAGCUUCACAUGUAAGGACUCAUGGAGAAGACAUCUUAGAAGAGGCACUUGCUUUCUCCACUGCUCAUCUUGAAUCUGCAGCUCCACAUUUGAAGUCACCUCUGAGUAAGCAAGUCACACAUGCCCUUGAGCAAUCUCUCCAUAAGAGCAUUCCAAGAGUUGAGACACGAUACUUCAUCUCUAUCUACGAAGAGGAGGAACAUAAGAAUGAUGUGUUGCUUCGAUUUGCAAAACUGGACUUCAACUUACUUCAGAUGUUGCACAAACAAGAACUCAGUGAAGUAUCAAGGUAUGCUAGCUAGUAAUUUACAUGAAAAAUAUAAAUUAAUUGUUACUCGAUAGUAAUUUCUCAAAUCAAUUCUAAAUUUUUAAGAUUGAUUCUUAUUUUAUAGGUGGUGGAAAGAUUUGGAUUUUGUGACAACACUUCCAUAUGCUAGGGAUAGAGCAGUUGAGUGCUACUUUUGGACGAUGGGAGUGUAUGCUGAACCUCAGUAUUCUCAUGCUCGUGUCAUGCUUGCUAAGACUAUAGCAAUGAUUUCUAUAGUAGAUGACACAUUCGAUGCUUAUGGAAUCGUAAAAGAACUCGAGGUUUACACCGAUGCCAUACAGAGGUAUGAACAAUUGCCUCUCCAACAGCAAAUGGUUAAUUUCUUAGAAGGGAAACUUACUUAAUCUUUAUCUUUUAUUAGGUGGGAUAUCAGCCAAAUUGAUCGGCUCCCAGAUUACAUGAAAAUCAGUUAUAAAGCACUUCUAGAUCUCUACAACGAUUAUGAAACAGAGUUGUCAAUGGAUGGUAGAUCCGAUGUUGUUCACUACGCCAAAGAAAGAGUAUGAAUCAUGACUUAUACUAGUUAUCUCAAUAUUAAUCAGUUUGUUAACGAAUAUCUGUAGCUUUUUCUCCUCAUCUUUGCGUAUAAGGAAAUUCAUUUUUUGAAUAAAUACUGAUGUUUGAGUGUCUUUGCUUGUUGUUGACAGAUGAAAGAAAUCGUGAGAAACUAUUUUGUGGAAGCAAAAUGGUUCAUUGAAGGAUACAUGCCACCUGUUUCUGAGUAUCUUAGCAAUGCAUUAGCUACUAGCACUUAUUACUUGCUUACGACAACAUCCUACUUGGGCGUGAAAUCUGCUAACAAGGAAGAUUUUGAAUGGUUGGCUAAGAACCCUAAAAUCCUUGAAGCCAAUGUGACUUUAUGUCGAGUCAUUGAUGAUAUAGCAACCUAUGAAGUUGAGAAGGGUAGAGGUCAGAUUGCAACUGGAAUUGAGUGUUAUAUGAGGGAUUAUGGCGUAUCAACAGAAGUAGCAAUGGAAAAAUUCCAAGAGAUGGCUGAGAUAGCAUGGAAGGAUGUAAAUGAAGGAAUUCUUCGACCAACACCUAUCUCUACAGAAAUCCUUACUCGUAUUCUCAAUCUGGCUCGUAUUAUAGAUGUCACUUACAAGCACAAUCAAGAUGGAUACACUCAUCCAGAGAAGGUUCUAAAACCUCACAUUAUCGCUUUGUUGGUAGAUUCUAUUGAAAUUUAAAUUAUCAAUUCACCAAGGAAUACUUGGUACUUCUCAGUCCCUUAAAUAAGUAAUUGGUGAUAUCGUGCAAUGAAGUUACUUUCUUAACUUUCUUCUUUGUAUUAUCAUUGAUAAUAUUUAAAUUUAAUUACUUCAGUUUCUACCUAGCUGCUUUAGCUUAAUUUGUUUAAGUUAUGUAAAACAAUUCUGAAAGUCAUGACGUGAAAGAAUAUGCUUCAACAGUUUCUGAUUAGCCACAAGAAAAUAAAUAAAAAAUUGAAUAUUCC
rnacentral:lncRNA from 1 species